AUUGAACGCUGGCGGCAGGCCUAACACAUGCAAGUCGAACGGUAGCACAGAGAGCUUGCUCUCGGGUGACGAGUGGCGGACGGGUGAGUAACGUCUGGGAAACUGCCCGAUGGAGGGGGAUAACUACUGGAAACGGUAGCUAAUACCGCAUAACGUCGCAAGACCAAAGUGGGGGACCUUCGGGCCUCACACCAUCGGAUGUGCCCAGAUGGGAUUAGCUAGUAGGUGGGGUAAUGGCUCACCUAGGCGACGAGCCCUAGCUGGUCUGAGAGGAGACACAGCAACAGGGGAGCGGAGCUAAGGUGCAGCUUCCUACGGGAGGAAGAAGGGGGGAAUAUUGUACAAUGGGUGCAUGCCUGAUUCAGCCAUGCCGCGUGUAUGAAGAAGGCCUUCGGGUUGUAAAGUACUUUCAGCGGGGAGGAAGGCGGUGAAGUUAAUAGCUUCACCGAUUGACGUUACCCGCAGAAGAAGCACCGGCUAACUCCGUGCCAGCAGCCGCAGUAA
rnacentral:rRNA from 1 species